rnacentral:rRNA from 1 species
AUUGAACGCUGGCGGCAUGCCUUACACAUGCAAGUCGAACGGCAGCAUGGAGAGCUUGCUCUCUGAUGGCGAGUGGCGAACGGGUGAGUAAUGCAUCGGAACGUACCGUGUAAUGGGGGAUAACGUAGCGAAAGUUACGCUAAUACCGCAUACGACCUGAGGGUGAAAGCAGGGGAUCGCAAGACCUUGCGUUAUACGAGCGGCCGAUGUCAGAUUAGCUAGUUGGUGAGGUAAAGGCUCACCAAGGCGACGAUCUGUAGCGGGUCUGAGAGGAUGAUCCCCCAGACUGGGACUGAGAAACGGCCCAGACUCCUACGGGGGGCAGAAGUGGGGAAUUUUGGACAAUGGGGGCAACCCUGAUCCAGCCAUGCCGCGUGAGUGAAGAAGGCCUUCGGGUUGUAAAGCUCUUUCGGCCGGGAAGAAAUCGCACAGGCUAAUACUCUGUGUGGAUGACGGUACCGGCAUAAGAAGCACCGGCUAACUACGUGCCAGCCGCCGCCGUAA